rnacentral:tRNA from 1 species
GGGAAGAUGGCUCAGUGGUAGAGCGCUUGCUUCGCAUGCAUGAGGCCCUGGGUUCGAUUCCUCAGUACCA